UACAGAGGUCUCUAGCGUUGUUCGGAUUUACUGGGCGUAAAGGGCGCGUAGGCGGCGUGGUGUGUCGAGUGUGAAAUCUCCGGGCUCAACCCGGAAAGUGCGCUCGAAACUGCCAUGCUCGAGUGCGGGAUGGGGAAUCGGAAUAUAGGGUGUAGCGGUGAAAUGCGUUGAUAUCCUAUAGAACACCGGAGGCGAAGGCGGAUUCCUGGAACGCAACUGACGCUGAGGCGCGAAAGUCGGGGGAGCAAAC
rnacentral:rRNA from 1 species